rnacentral:lncRNA from 1 species
GAACAUGGCGGAGAGAAGUGGCACGUCGGAGAAAUCGAAGGAAAACAUAGCAAAAAGUGCUUAAUGACACAGUUAGAAGCACAACAUGGAAUAUAUGAAGCUGUAAAAUCUGUAACAGAUUAAGCAGAUAUUAUCCAAGCAACAAGAAGCAACCUCAAUAAUGGCAUUAAUUCGAACAUCUGACAUUUAGUAUCAAGUCUUGACUUUUUGACUACAUGUGGAUCUCCACCUAAACCUGGAAUGUGCAGAAGUCAAAUCAGAUUCCAUAAAACAGUGUCACUUGUGAAUUACACAUUUCAAGUGCUUCAUGCAGCUUUAGUGUCAUCAUGUUGAAAAGUAAGAU